rnacentral:rRNA from 1 species
UACGUAGGCAGCAAGCGUUGUUCGGAAUUACUGGGCGUAAAGCGUGCGUAGGCGGUGCCUCAAGUUUGGUGUGAAAUCUCCCGGCUCAACCGGGAGGGUGCGCCGAAAACUGAGGUGCUCGAGUGUGGGAGAGGUAGGCGGAAUUCCUGGUGUAGCGGUGGAAUGCGCAGAUAUCAGGAGGAACACCAAUAGCGAAGGCAGCUCGCUGGGACGGUACUGACGCUAAGGCGCGAAAGCGUGGGGAGCGAACAGG